UACGUAGGGAGCAAGCGUUAUCCGGAAUUAUUGGGUGUAAAGGGUGCGUAGACGGGAAGACAAGUUAGUUGUGAAAUCCCUCGGCUUAACUGAGGAACUGCAACUAAAACUAUUUUUCUUGAGUGCAGGAGAGGAAAGCGGAAUUCCUAGUGUAGCGGUGAAAUGCGUAGAUAUUAGGAGGAACACCGGUGGCGAAGGCGGCUUUCUGGACUGUAACUGACGUUGAGGCACGAAAGUGUGGGGAGCAAACAGG
rnacentral:rRNA from 1 species